rnacentral:rRNA from 1 species
UACGUAGGGUGCAAGCGUUAAUCGGAAUUACUGGGCGUAAAGCGUGCGCAGGCGGUUUUGUAAGACUGUCGUGAAAUCCCCGGGCUCAACCUGGGAAUGGCGAUGGUGACUGCAAGGCUAGAGUUUGGCAGAGGGGGGUAGAAUUCCACGUGUAGCAGUGAAAUGCGUAGAGAUGUGGAGGAACACCGAUGGCGAAGGCAGCCCCCUGGGUCAAGACUGACGCUCAUGCACGAAAGCGUGGGGAGCAAACAGG